UAUUUCCACUCGAAACAAAAUUAUGUUAAAAUGUUCGUGAGCUUCGAAACAAACAACGUGAAACCUCCAGCCGCCCUCAAACGCGAACAACAUCAAAAGUCUGAACAACAAAAAGCUAGAGGCCGAUCCGGCUUUGCAGUUAGACGAAUUAUUGAUUUUCGAAAAGCUUCAACUUAUAGACAAUCUCUUGAAAAAGCAAUAGAUUCCCCUACAACUCGUGUGCGGAAAGCAAAAUUGUUCAAAGUCCUUCAGAAAUCCUAUGGAGUUAGAACAAUUUUGAUUUCCGCAGACGAACUGUUAUCAAAAGAUCGCAUUACAACUCACUUCCUUGCAUUCGAGAUUGAAUAAAAUUCUUCUAAUCAGCGCCAAAUAUUCACAACAUCAUUGAAGCAAAUCGUGAUUCAAUUUCGUGGAGGGUGCAGAGUUCCAUUUCAUUUACCUUUCUGUACUCCAAUUGGAACGACAAGUAAAGUACUACAAGGCAACCAAAGAUUGGCGAUCAGUAAAUUGGACAACGUAGGAUCUUUCUUCAUUUACUAUUCUUAUUGGAAUGUAAGGUGUUUGUUCGAUCGGCCGAUCCAAUGUUCCAACUAUGUGGCCAAAGCCAAAACCGUUUAAACACAAAACGAUCAGACAAGCUUUCUAAAUUAAAUCAAAUAUUUUUGAAAUUUCUAAUUAAAUGAUAAUUUCACUUUUUAUAAAUACAAAAUAACAUGUCAAUGCUACAAAUACAGCUAUA